rnacentral:lncRNA from 1 species
AUGUCUGCAUCGCCUAAAGGACACAAAGGCGACCCUCCGUUCCCUGGGAUGCACACACCUCAGUCGUCUAGGCAGCCAUUCCGGCCUCCCCCACCUCCUAGUCAGUGGCAGCCUCUGCAGGGGCCUACGAGGAACAGGGACAUUUCAAGGAAGGUCGGUCUUCGCCCAUCCCAUGACAGCGCAGUUUCUGAAAAGUCUGGAGUCCCUUUACCCACAUGUCCGAGACCUGGUCCCUCCUUGGACCUGAAACUUGUGCUAUCUAGGCUCACGGGGCCCCCCUUUGAGCUCCUGGCUUCCUGCUCCCUUCUCCUGUUAUCCUGGAAGGUCUCCUUUUUGGUUGCUAUAACUUCAGCCCGUAGGGUGUCCGAGAUCAGGGUGCUCACGUCAGAGCCCCUGUAUACGAUCUUCUAUAAGGACAAGGUCCAGCUGCAUCUGCACCUGACCUUUCUGCCCAAGGUCGUCUCCCAGUCCCACACGAGUCAGGACAUAUGUCUUCCGGUUCUUUGCCCGAAGCCUAAUGCGAUGGAUGAGGAGUGCAGGCUGCAUACCUUGGACGUUAGGCAGGCUGUGGCCUUCUACAUAGAGAAGACGAAGCCAUUCUGUAAGUCUACGCAGCUGUUUGUUGCUGUCGUGGACCGGAUGAAGGGUUGUCCAGUGUCUAUCCAGAGGAUCUCGUCUUGGAUCACGGCUUGUAUCCGCUACUGCUAUGAACUGGCGAAGGUGCCCCCACCACCGAUUGUGAUGGCUCACUCCACUAGGGUGCAGGCCUCAUCGGCGGCCUUCCUCACUCAGGUGCCGAUCCAGGAAAUUUGCCGUGCCACAACCUGGUCGUUCGUCCACAUGUUUGCCUCACACUAUGCGCUGAUCCAGCAAGCUCAGGCUGAUGCUGGUUUCAGCAGAACAGUACUACAAUCUGCAAGACUGAGGGAACUGGGAUUGUUUAGUCUGCAGAAGAGAAGAAUGAGGGGGGAUUUGAUAGCUGCUUUCAACUACCUGAAAGGGGGUUCCACAGAGGAUGGAUCUAGACUGUUCUCAGUGGUACCAGAUGACAGAACAAGGAGUAAUGGUCUCAAGUUGCAGUGGGGGAGGUUUAGGUUGGAUAUUCGGAAAAACUUUUUCACGAGGAGGGUGGUGAAGCACUGGAAUGGGUUACCUAGGGAGGUGGUGGAAUCUCCUUCCUUAGAGGUUUUUAAGGUCAGGCUUGAUAAAGCCCUGGCUGGGAUGAUUUAG